CGGACGGGUGAGUAAUGUCUGGGAAACUGCCCGAUGGAGGGGAUAACUACUGGAAACGGUAGCUAAUACCGCAUAACGUCGCAAGACCAAAGAGGGGGACCUUCGGGUCUCUUGCCAUCGGAUGUGCCCAGAUGGGAUUAGCUAGUAGGUGGGGUAACGGCUCACCUAGGCGACGAUCCCUAGCUGGUCUGAGAGGAUGACCAGCCACACUGGAACUGAGACACGGUCCAG
rnacentral:rRNA from 1 species